ensembl:lncRNA RNF139-DT RNF139 divergent transcript
GCGCUUUUCGGUAGCCGCGCUUUCCGGCGUUGGAGUUGCAGCUUCACCCUCGCAGAUUCGGCUUAGCGAGCGAGUCGGUGCUUCCGCGGAUCAAAAUUAUUAGCCGUUUUAUUAGAGCCCAUUAAACGUUGCAUAAACAUGGUUCAGAGCUGCCUGGGAGAAGAAAAGCCAAAGGAUGCCACCCUCUCGAUUUAUCCCACCCUCGGGAGUCUGAAAGCCGACGCCAGGAGAAAUCCCGCGAAGGCCGCCCGGGAUCCUGGUAGAGGCGACGCUGUGUGCGUUUAUGGAGCGCUUGCGGUGCGUGGCACUAGGCUGGGUGUGGUGGGUGCUGCCGAAAAAAGGGUUCCUCCCAUCCAUUUGCACGUCACCCUUCCCACCUCCUGCCCAGAUGGACAGAAGUGAGGACAUUCAUCGGCCGCAUUUUACUAAUGGCAAGGAGAUAGCGACUGAAGGGCAAGAACCUAGGGUUUCCUGUCUUUGAUAUUUCUCAUCUUUGAGAGAAGCCAGUAUUUGGAGAUGUUUACCCUGCUGUUUUGGAAGUUGUCCACUUUACUUGAUAUUGGGACAUAUCAAGAGACCACUAUAUGGUCUUGAGUGUAAACUACAGGUAUAUUCCUUCCUGCCAUCAUCGUGUAGCAAUAACGCUAUUUCCUCCUGAUGAUUGGAUUCAUUUACCCCAACUAACAUGGUGACUCUUCCUUGCCUGCUGGUCUCCUAGCACAAGGACCUUGAACCGGGAAACCUCAGCAAGUUAAAGUUUAAAGGAUCUAUUAUUGUGUCUCUUGAUGAAAAGGUUCCUCUCUUGGGAAUCAGGACUUCUAAUUCACAAAGUUGCGGGGAUGAGAAGUCCAAACUCCCCACUUGGGUCACUGGGAGUGAGAGUAUGUGGUUAUAUUAAUUUCCUAUCACUGCUAUGACACUACGAACUUAGUGGUUUCAAACAACACAAAUUUAUUUUCUUACAGUUCUGGAAGCCUAAAAUCAAGAUAUCAACUGGACUGUUUUUCCUGAAGUCUUCAAGAAAAAGUCUGUUUCCUUGCCUUUUUCAAUUUCUAGAGGCUACCUACAUUUCUUGGCUCAUGGCCCCUUACUCAUAUCACCCCAUCCUCCUGCUUAAGUCAUUGCAUCUACUAGGCAAAUCUGCCUCUCUCUUGUAAGAAUCUUUAUGAUUAUAUUGGGCCUAUUGGAUAGUCCAGGAUAAUCUCUGUAUCUUGAGAUCAUUAACUUAGUCAUAUCCACAAAGUCUCUUUUAUCUUGAAGGUAAAAUAUUCAUAGAAUCCAGGAUUAGGAUCUGAACAUAUUUGGGGGCCAUUAUUCAGCCUACUACACAGUAGGAAUUCUAUUUAUAUCCUUUCAUUCCCAAACAUGCAUGUUAUGUAUAUAUGAGACACAGCACCAUAAAAUGAGUGUUGAUUUAGAGUAUAUACUGUACCCUGGUGGACAAGGUCAUUCCAUUUUCACAGGCUAUUAUCUUCAAGCUUUUGCUUCAGUUUCACCUUCAAAAGGGUUUUUCAUCAUUCCAUCAGACCCGCAUUUUCUCGGUUAUAUAGUAUGUGAUAGGACUAGUGGAUCUCAUGGUUAUGUACCUGCUGAUACACCUCCUUUGCUGUAAAGUGCAUCCCUAAAUCAAAGGCAAUAUUACACAGGAUACAUGUUGAUGGAUCAAAUACCUGUAAACCUGUGAGUAGUAGAGCUGGCCAACAACUUAUAGGCAAGGAAGUCAAACUCAUACAUGCAGAUGGGCAGUUUCUAGUCAAGGAGAAUCACUGCCCAUUCUAGGAUGGAAGGAAUCCAACAUAAAUCAAUUUGCUGCCCAAGUAGCUGUUUGGUAUCCUUGAGGGUUGGUGCUGUAUCAGGAACUUGGUGUUUAACACUGGGGAGUGGCUAUUUUGUUGUUGUUGUUGUUGUUGUUUUGUUUUGUUUGAGACGGAGUUUCACUGGUUGCCCAGGCUGGAGUGCCGUGGCGCCAUCUCGGCUCACUGCAACCUCUGCCUCCUGGGUUCAAGGGAUUCUCCUGCCUCAGCCUCGUGAGUAGCUGGGAUUACAGGCAUGCGCCACCACGGCCAGCUAAUUUUGUAUUUUUAGUAGAGACGGGGUUUCUCCAUGUUGGUCAGGCUGGUCUCAAACUCCAGACCUCAGGUGAUCCGCCCACCUCAGCCUCCCAAAGUGCUGGGAUUACAGACAGGAGCCACCGCGCCCAGCCUGGGGAGUGGCUAUUGGAUAAGUGGAGGCUAUCUAUUGGCUUCUUGCUCACUUGCAUUCCUGCAAGAUGACUACUUUGUCAUAAGCCCCCUGUGCCAUUCCUGGGGGCGGAGGGAGGGGGCGGUGGAGCCGAUGGUUGUAGCUGCUGAAGUUUACUGGCUAAAUCUGUCUACUUGGUUAUUUAAUGCUGCUUACAUGUUGGAUUGUCUCUGGCAGAUAAAGAUUGUGUUAUACAAUACAAAAAGCCCUCCUUAUGUGCCAUAUCUGAUAUAUUUCUCCUCUGCUUCUCCAGACUUCUUGUCCCUGAUAUACCAGUCUUAUUCCAGACCCCUGAUCAACUAGCCAACUUAUUUGCCAUGAAAAUAUGUUCUUAGUUCAAGACACUUUCUUUCCACACACAGUUGAUGACCAGGAAUACUGCCCCACAUUAUGCCUUUUGGGAGGGUUCUCCUUACUGCUGUCUUUUAAGGCCAGUCCUGUGUGGGGCUGUAGGGCAGUAGCAGUCCAUUUUUGUUUUGAACCUAUAUUCCAAGAAACCUCAGUGAAUUCAGCUCAGGCUUUUUUGUCCUCCAUAAGCUAGACAUGAGAGCCUCCCAAGUGGCCAUAAUUGUGAGCUGAGGAAGGGACAUUGGUAAAGAAUCAGAUAUGACAUGGGAGCCUGACCACCUGCCUUUGCCCAGCUCAUGAUGGGCCUCUCUGGCUACAUGGUCACUUGAUGUCCAUAAUCAGUUCUUACCAAGGCACAUUAGCAUGGAUAGAGUUGUUUUUGGGAUUUUGCACUGCAGAUGGCCCAGCCUUGCCACAGAAUGCCAGGAGUCGACCUUGUGAUUCUCCCAUUGGAGCUUGCCUUCAACUUUCAUGGCUUCUUAUCACAUUUACUCUUGUCCCAUAGAAUAUCCUGAAUUGGUCCAUGCAACAGGGCUAAAUACACCAUACCUGCUAGAGAACUUUUACAUGCUAUGGAUCCCACUGAAAACUGGCAGAUUUCUAUCUCACCCAGUUUACGAGUCAGAACAGUACUGCCAACUUCUGAAUUCCCACAGAAGCCUACACAGCUUGGUGUGCUUCCCUGGUGGCAGAAUAAUUUUGGUGAAAUGAGUGGGUGAGAUGCAAUAAUUUGUCCUUUACUGUGAAGGGGAUAUCUUGGCAUUCAAGCAGCCUACUGGGCCCUAAAAGUUUCACUGAGGUAACAGCUUGCUGGGUCUUAAGGAUUAUUUCCCAUCCUCCAGUGUACAGUAUGCUAGCUGCUUAUUAUUCACCUUAUCCAGCUAGCAUGAUGUCAUCAAUGUGGUAGGUCAUUGUGACAUUAUGUGGGAUGUUUAGAUGGUCUAGAUCUCUUCGGAUUAUGACGCAGUGUGGAAGAGUUAACAUAACCCUAAGCCAAUACUAUAAAUGGGUACUGCUGUCCUAUAUAAACACAAACUUAAUUCUUGUCCAGCACUCUCAGGACCCAGUUCCAUACACAUGCUCAUGGUUCCUGUUGGUACAUGUUGGUUAGAUCCUGCAUCUCUUUGGUCAUAUAAGCCCAUUUGGAAUUGAAAGUAGACACACAGAAUGAGGGCAAAACACCUGCAGAACAGCUGCUUCAUCAUGGUGGGCUUUUUUCAUAUUAGGUUUUGUUACCUUUGAGUUUUUAAAUUAUGUGUAA